rnacentral:rRNA from 1 species
GGUAGCAGACAAGCAUUUGACUGCUAUUAAAGUGGCUAAGGCCAUGAACAUGGAUGGACCUGCGGUGCAUUAGCUAGUUGGUGAGGUAACGGCCCACCAAGGCGACGAUGCAUAGCCGGCCUGAGAGGGCGGACGGCCACAUUGGAACUGAGACACGGUCCAAACUCCUACGGGAGGCAGCAUG